rnacentral:rRNA from 1 species
UACAGAGGUGGCAAGCGUUGUUCGGAAUUACUGGGCGUAAAGGGCGCGUAGGCGGCCUUCUAAGUCAGACGUGAAAUCCCCCGGCUUAACCUGGGAACUGCGUCUGAUACUGGGAGGCUUGAGUAUGGGAGAGGGAGGUAGAAUUCCAGGUGUAGCGGUGAAAUGCGUAGAUAUCUGGAGGAACACCGGUGGCGAAGGCGGCAUCCUGGACCGGUAUUGACACUGAGGCGCGAAAGCCAGGGGAGCAAACGGG